UACGGAGGAUCCAAGCGUUAUCCGGAUUUAUUGGGUUUAAAGGGUGCGUAGGCGGCUUAUUAAGUCAGGGGUGAAAGACGGUGGCUCAACCAUCGCAGUGCCUUUGAUACUGAUGAGCUUGAAUGUACUAGAGGUAGGCGGAAUGUGACAAGUAGCGGUGAAAUGCAUAGAUAUGUCACAGAACACCGAUUGCGAAGGCAGCUUACUAUGGUAUUAUUGACGCUGAGGCACGAAAGCGUGGGGAUCAAACAGG
rnacentral:rRNA from 1 species